GCUCAGGACGAACGCUGGCGGCGUGCCUAAUACAUGCAAGUCGUACGCUUCUUUUUCCACCGGAGCUUGCUCCACCGGAAAAAGAAGAGUGGCGAACGGGUGAGUAACACGUGGGUAACCUGCCCAUCAGAAGGGGAUAACACUUGGAAACAGGUGCUAAUACCGUAUAACAAUCGAAACCGCAUGGUUUUGAUUUGAAAGGCGCUUUCGGGUGUCGCUGAUGGAUGGACCCGCGGUGCAUUAGCUAGUUGGUGAGGUAACGGCUCACCAAGGCCACGAUGCAUAGCCGACCUGAGAGGGUGAUCGGCCACAUUGGGACUGAGACACGGCCCAAACUCCUACGGGAGGCAGCAGUAGGGAAUCUUCGGCAAUGGACGAAAGUCUGACCGAGCAACGCCGCGUGAGUGAAGAAGGUUUUCGGAUCGUAAAACUCUGUUGUUAGAGAAGAACAAGGAUGAGAGUAACUGUUCAUCCCUUGACGGUAUCUAACCAGAAAGCCACGGCUAACUACGUGCCAGCAGCCGCGGUAAUACGUAGGUGGCAAGCGUUGUCCGGAUUUAUUGGGCGUAAAGCGAGCGCAGGCGGUUUCUUAAGUCUGAUGUGAAAGCCCCCGGCUCAACCGGGGAGGGUCAUUGGAAACUGGGAGACUUGAGUGCAGAAGAGGAGAGUGGAAUUCCAUGUGUAGCGGUGAAAUGCGUAGAUAUAUGGAGGAACACCAGUGGCGAAGGCGGCUCUCUGGUCUGUAACUGACGCUGAGGCUCGAAAGCGUGGGGAGCAAACAGGAUUAGAUACCCUGGUAGUCCACGCCGUAAACGAUGAGUGCUAAGUGUUGGAGGGUUUCCGCCCUUCAGUGCUGCAGCUAACGCAUUAAGCA
rnacentral:rRNA from 1 species